AUGGGAAGUACAAAAAUUACUUCUAGUGAGAGUUCAUUUAAAUCUACAGGGUCCAGUCCCAUAUAUCUUUUAACCAGGUUCAUGGUGAAGCCCAGGGUGCUCGUCGGCUAUCACAAGAAGCAGACCAUCGAGAAGGAGCUGGGCGACAUGGUGCAGCGGAGCUCGUUGACGAUGAAGGAUGUGAAGCUUCACCACCAUUCACAACUCCAGUAUGGUCCAGUUCGUCAUGAGGAUCUGGAGCUUCAACUUUUUCACUUCAUCUUUCAUAUGCUUUUUAGUACAUCUACUUCCUCAUCAUGGAAGAAGGAAAUCAGUCCAACAGGCGCAUCUAAAGUGACAUGUCGUGCACCGCCCACUUGUCCUCAAGCUGCUCGUCGUGUCAUGCCGGCUUGCCAUCAACCACAGUUGUGGCUCAACCCCCACGGUGCUUCCCCUCUAUUGUUGCCCUCACCAUGCUCUCCUGCGUAUUGGCGGCCUCGAUGA
rnacentral:rRNA from 1 species